GAAGAGAAGGAGGAGGAGAAGGAGGAGAAGGAGGGAAAGGAAGAGGAGGAGGAGGAAGGAGAAGAAGAAAGAUUCUCUUACGUCUCUUUGAUAUUGGGAGCUCAAGCUGCGCACAGAAAAAUGAACUGAAAGGACAUCUCUCUCCAGGGAAAGGAUGGCUGAGCUUGGAACAAUGAAUUGGAACAGUGGGUAUCAUCACAUGGGGAGGCCGCAGCCAGAGAGAAACACACAGGAUGGGCUGCGUUUCAGCAGUUGCUGGAGCCAGAAAAGACCCCCAGGUGCCAGGAGCAAGACAGAAGCAGGCUCGUGGGAACCAGGCUCAAGGCCACAGAUGUUAAUGGAAUUGUUUGCAAGCUCCCAACCUGAUGGAGAGCGCCAUACAUCUUGGAGACUUUCUGUUUUCUAUCAUAAACACCACAAAAUCAAACAGCACUAAAACAAACCGAC
rnacentral:sRNA from 1 species